GUUAAUUAGAUUUCCAGGUUUUGCAUCCAGUCACUGCAAUUGAUUCCUGAAAAGAUGGAUUUAUUGCUUAGCCAGGCAGAAUUCUGACAAUCUUCGGAGGAUGGAAAAUAAAAGAAAACAGCCCAUACAUAGAGCACUGUCGGUCAUCAGUGGGUCAGAACAGCAAGAUAUGUUACAGCUGGCAGUUUUAUGCCAGAACUUCAGCACAAGUAAUCUUCUUGCUAAAUGGGUAGCACCAGGACCCAUUGGAAUAUUU
rnacentral:lncRNA from 1 species